CCUUGGUUGAUGGUAGGGCCCACUGAAAGCAGUUUCCUGUGUCCAAUUCCCUCUCAAUCACAGAUCUCAAAUCGUUUUAUAUCAACCCCUUUGCUUCCACCAUUGUAACACGCUCCCAGCUUCUCUGCGGCGAUCUGCAUUCUCCUCCAGACCUCCACUCCUGCUGCUGCGUUGCGUGCAAGUUCUCAAUCUUGCAUAUGUGAUUGACCUAAAGACUAUACCAAUUGCCGAUGCCGCUGAAAAUUCUACACCAAAAGAAAAAGAAAAGAUUGUUCAAUUGAAGAAGAAACAUGAUGAAGAUAUUUUUGCAUGUCGAGGUCGUAUUCUCAAUAUUUUAUCCGAUCGACUCUGUGAUCUCUAUAUGUCAAUUCAAUCACCAUUGGAGAUUUGAAAAUCUUUGAAAAAAAGUAGAAUAUUAAAUGACAAAAAACAUAUAAGUUUAUUAUGAUGAAAUAUUUCGAAUUUAUUAUGAAUGAUACUAUGUUUGUUA